GAAAUGCGAUAAGUAAUGUGAAUUGCAGAAUUCAGUGAAUCAUCGAAUCUUUGAACGCACAUUGCGCCCGCCAGCAUUCUGGCGGGCAUGCCUGUUCGAGCGUCAUUUCAACCCUCGAGCUCGUCUUCAUUGACGAGAUCGGUGUUGGGACCCGGCGAUCGGGGACUUUAGUUCCUCUGCCGGUCCUGAAAUUCAGUGGCGGCCCGUUGCGGCGACCUCUGCGUAGUAACUUAACCUCGCACUGGGACAGCAGCGCGGCCACGCCGUAAAACCCCCGACUUUUUUUAAGGUUGACCUCGAAUCAGGUAGGACUACCCGCUGAACUUAA
rnacentral:misc_RNA from 1 species